rnacentral:rRNA from 1 species
AACCUGCACACAGGUGCUGCAUGGCUGUCGUCAGCUCGUGUCGUGAGAUGUUGGGUUAAGUCCCGCAACGAGCGCAACCCUUGCCAUUAGUUGCUACGAAAGGGCACUCUAAUGGGACUGCCGGUGACAAACCGGAGGAAGGUGGGGAUGACGUCAAGUCCUCAUGGCCCUUAUAGGUGGGGCUACACACGUCAUACAAUGGCCGGUACAGAGGGUAGCCAACCCGCGAGGGGGAGCCAAUCCCACAAAGCCGGUCGUAGUCCGGAUCGCAGUCUGCAACUCGACUGCGUGAAGUCGGAAUCGCUAGUAAUCGCGGAUCAGCAUGUCGCGGUGAAUACGUUCCCGGGUCUU